CUGACAGCUUUGGAGACUCAAGCCCUCAAUUUAUUUAUCCACAAAACAAAUAAAACAGAGGCAGUGGAAUGUUAGUUUACUUCAUUUCAUUCCCUCAGUAUGUUACAAUCCUGACCUGGAGUGAUCUCUGAGGGCUGGAGGGUAGUUCAAUUUCCAGACUCAUUCAAACUUGAUUUCUU
rnacentral:sRNA from 1 species